rnacentral:rRNA from 1 species
UACGUAGGGUGCGAGCGUUAAUCGGAAUUACUGGGCGUAAAGCGUGCGCAGGCGGUUUUGUAAGCCAGAUGUGAAAUCCCCGGGCUUAACCUGGGAAUGGCAUUUGGGACUGCAAGGCUCGAGUGCGGCAGAGGAGACUGGAAUUCCUGGUGUAGCAGUGAAAUGCGUAGAUAUCAGGAGGAACACCGAUGGCGAAGGCAGGUCUCUGGGCUGACACUGACGCUCAUGCACGAAAGCGUGGGGAGCAAACAGGAUUAGAAACCCCGAGUA